rnacentral:rRNA from 1 species
GACGAACGCUGGCGGCGUGCCUAAUACAUGCAAGUUGAGCGCUGAAGGUUGGUACUUGUACCGACUGGAUGAGCAGCGAACGGGUGAGUAACGCGUGGGGAAUCUGCCUUUGAGCGGGGGACAACAUUUGGAAACGAAUGCUAAUACCGCAUAAAAACUUUAAACACAAGUUUUAAGUUUGAAAGAUGCAAUUGCAUCACUCAAAGAUGAUCCCGCGUUGUAUUAGCUAGUUGGUGAGGUAAAGGCUCACCAAGGCGAUGAUACAUAGCCGACCUGAGAGGGUGAUCGGCCACAUUGGGACUGAGACACGGCCCAAACUCCUACGGGAGGCAGAAGUAGGGAAUCUUCGGCAAUGGGAGAAAGUCUGACCGAGCAACGCCGCGUGAGUGAAGAAGGUUUUCGGAUCGUAAAACUCGGUUGGUAGAGAAGAACGUUGGUGAGAGUGGAAAGCUCAUCAAGUGACGGUAACUACCCAGAAAGGGACGGCUAACUACGUG